AUGCGUAUUCCAGGGCCUUCUCCCCAAAAUCGACGGCCUCAUUCAGUUACGGGCGGCUGGAGAAGUUUGGGCGACGAGCGCCGCCGGCGACCAGCAAUGGAGUUCCUGCUGCAGCCAAUCCGCGGAUCCGCUUUCUUGGAAGAGGUAGGAGAGAGUCUGGUGCCGCCGGUGGUUCCUGAACUGGGCUCUGUGGCGGUGGAGCAGCAUGUAGAAGACAUGGUGGUCGAGCUGCCAGUGGUGCAGCAGGAGAUGUCGUCCCAUGUGCACCAAUCCGCCAGCGGCCAUGCGCAGAUUGUGGCUGGACCGGCGUCGGGCGGAGUUAGGUUGGAGAGCUCACCGCCGUCGUCAGAGUUGUCCACUAGGAAAAUGACUCCGCGAGCCCCUGGGUGGAACAAGAGGUUGAGGAUUGGAGCUGCUGCCCCGAGUAGGCCACCGUGUCCAAACCGCAUCAGCGCGUUUGAGAAGGCUGUGCGGGGUUUUGCUGAGAACCCUACGGAGAAUGUUAUCACACCAGUUACUGGCACAACAUUUGACUCGGUGGGAGAGGCUUAG
rnacentral:rRNA from 1 species